rnacentral:tRNA from 1 species
ACUUAGAUAGUUUAAUAAAAAUAUUGAUUUGUGGGAUCAAAGUUAUAAGUUUUAUUUUAAGUA